rnacentral:rRNA from 1 species
UGAGCAAUCUGCCCUUCUCAUCGGAAUAAGCGUUGGAAACGACGUCUAAUGCCGAAUACGACCUCCUUUCGCAUGAUCGGAGGUGGAAAGCUCCGGCGGAGAAAGAUGAGCUCGCGGCCUAUCAGCUUGUUGGUGUGGGUAAUGGCCCACCAAGGCGACGACGGGUAGCCGGCCUGAGAGGGUGACCGGCCACACUGGGACUGAGACACGGCCCAGACUCCGUACGGGAGCAG